CAGCAUCACCCUCCUGUUCCUGGUUCUCUUUGUUUUACCACGUGGCCAUCACCCACGAGGCGGACGAAGCCAUUUCCAUCAAAAUCUGCUCAGUCACAUGCUCCCUGUUUGGCUAAGCCAGUCUUGUGAUACAUGUACUUGUUUGCUUGAGUCUCAUCAACAAACCACAUCACCUGAGGUCAUAGAACUCAAAGGGCUGAGGCACUCAGUCCUACAGUGGAUGUAGUAGAGAUCACUCCUGCAAGGCUGAAGUCCCAGGACUCAAGAUACUUGCAGAAGAAAGUUCACUGAGCAGCACAAACAGUUUUCUUUUCCUUCCUAAAAAAUAUGAUAUUUUAGACCCAACUCAACCAAACUUCAGGAACUUCUCUGUACACAUAUUCCCAAAAUUUGUGGUUUUAACUGCAGUGAGCAGAAGGUUGUUCCAAAAACUCAUCUUUAAAUACGUGUAACAUAAACACUGCCCAGUGUGUUGUAUACAGGUAUAAUCAGCUUUCCAAACUGAGAUAGAGGCACAAGAAGAUGGCUGCUAUUGCCAGAGGACAAAACAAUCUUUGCUGCACUGAGUGGUUUUGUUCAAAAGCAGCAGAAAGAUGAACUGGAAAGAAGAUGAUACUGUUCUUCAUGAGAGAGGAAGAGAGCUCUCAUUAACUGUCACUGAAGAACAGGCAUAUAUGUAGUGAUGUUUUUAAAGUGUGCACUUUAGGCCUAGAGGAAGGCCACUUUUAUGUGUGAGAGCUUUGGAAGAGCAGAAUGCCAGUGUUUGGUCAUGCCUUCAGUGACACACAGUCGUGCAGCAUCAACUUAAUUUAAAAAAUACCCUGCACACU